UACGUAGGGUGCAAGCGUUGUCCGGAAUUAUUGGGCGUAAAGAGCUCGUAGGCGGUCUGUCGCGUCGGCUGUGAAAUCCCGAGGCUCAACCUCGGGUCUGCAGUCGAUACGGGCAAACUGGAGUGUUGCAGGGGAGACUGGAAUUCCUGGUGUAGCGGUGAAAUGCGCAGAUAUCAGGAGGAACACCGAUGGCGAAGGCAGGUCUCUGGGCCACUACUGACGCUGAGACGCGAAAGCGUGGGGAGCAAACAGG
rnacentral:rRNA from 1 species